GAUGAACGCUGGCGGCGUGCUUAACACAUGCAAGUCGAACGAUGAAGCUGGAGCUUGCUCUGGUGGAUUAGUGGCGAACGGGUGAGUAACACGUGAGCAACCUGCCCCUGACUCUGGGAUAACAGCCGGAAACGGCUGCUAAUACCGGAUAUGCACCAUGAACGCAUGUUCUGUGGUGGGAAAGAUUUUUCGGUUGGGGAUGGGCUCGCGGCCUAUCAGCUUGUUGGUGAGGUAAUGGCUCACCAAGGCGUCGACGGGUAGCCGGCCUGAGAGGGUGACCGGCCCAAACGGGACUGGGGCAAGGCCCAGAAUCCUACGGGAGGCAGGAGGGGGGAAUAUUGCACAAUGGGCGAAAGCCUGAUGCAGCAACGCCGCGUGAGGGAUGACGGCCUUCGGGUUGUAAACCUCUUUUAGCAGGGAAGAAGCGAGAGUGACGGUACCUGCAGAAAAAGCGCCGGCUAACUACGUG
rnacentral:rRNA from 1 species